rnacentral:rRNA from 1 species
AGCGGAGGAAAAGAAACCAACAGGGAUUGCCUCAGUAGCGGCGAGUGAAGCGGCAAAAGCUCCACUUUGAAAGCGUUUCGGCGCGUUGUAGUGUGGUUCAGUCUUUGAAUUUGGGGAAACUAAGUCCUUUGGAACAAGGCGCCAUAGAGGGUGAGAGCCCCGUGAGUUUUCCUUUACUAUUCUCCAAGUCUGUACCGAAGAGUCGAGUUGUUUGGGAAUGCAGCUCUAAGUGGGUGGUAAAUUCCAUCUAAGGCUAAAUAUUGGCGAGAGACCGAUAGCGAACAAGUACAGUGAUGGAAAGAUGAAAAGCACUUUGAAAAGAGAGUGAAACAGUACGUGAAAUUGUUGAAAGGGAAGGGUAUUUGGCUCGACAUGGGUCCUGUGCACCGUUGCCUCUUGUGGGCGGCGCUCUGCUGGGGCCUGGGCCAGCAUCAGUUUUCUGGCGGGGAUAAGGCCUUGUGAACUACAUUGUAGGGAUCGGGGCGAUGCCCGCACGGGGGACUGAGGACUGCCGUUUUUGUAGGAUGCUGGCAUAACGGCCAAAUACCGCCCGUCUUGA